CAGAGGGUGCAAGCGUUAAUCGGAAUUACUGGGCGUAAAGCGCGCGUAGGUGGUUUGUUAAGUUGAAUGUGAAAUCCCCGGGCGUCAACCUGGGAACUGCAUCCAAAACUAGGCAAGCUAGAGUAGGGCGAGAGGGUGGUGGAAUUUCCUGUGUAGCGGUGAAAUGCGUAGAUAUAGGAAGGAACACCAGUGGCGAAGGCGACCACCUGGGCUCAUACUGACACUGAGGUGCGAAAGACGUGGGGAGCAAACAGGAUU
rnacentral:rRNA from 1 species